GGGAGUAGCUCAGUGGCAGAGCCUUUGCCUAUCACACAUGAGGUCUUGGAUUCGAUCUCCAUCAACACA
rnacentral:tRNA from 1 species